UUGAGCGAGGUGAAACUGGAGGUGGAGACGGUGAUUAAAACAGGAAGACAGAUCGUACAAAAACAGCAGACGGAAAAUCCUAAAGGAAUGGAUGAACAGCUCACUGCCCUCAAAUUACUCUACAAUGAGCUGGGAGCUCAGGUGACUGAGGGGAAGCAGGAUUUGGAGAAAGCUUUGUCUCUGUCUCAGCGGCUGCA